GCGACACGCGCGGCCGGACCCGGGAAAACAAAGGGGGGAUGUGUGAGGCCGAGAGUCCGGAAACGGGGCGCCGGUGGGGGCCGGCCGGGCGCAGCUCCCCCUCUAGGAGCCUAUUGUUUGCCGAGGGCCCGGCCACACGCGCUUAACAAGAAAUUAACACAUCCUGCCGCCGCUUAUCAACCCAUCGACAGCCAAACAAACAGCAAGGACAUUUCUCCAGCCUAUGCUGUUGCUGAACUGGUUGUCUGGAAAAACUGUGACAAAGAAGAUUUCAGAUUAGAGGGCUACCCAUUGGUCCAAGGACUGCCCUGUCUACUUAUGGUCCCUGUUGCCAAGGUCUUGCCCAGCUGGACUUAAAUGCAACCACUGUGAGUAUCUGAAACUCUGCACAUUUCUGUCUCUAGUUUCCCUGUUGAUCUAUUAGUUCUCCUAAAAUGUCUCUGAGGUCACACCAACCUCCUGUCAGGCAUAUACACACACCUCUAUACCAGCUACUUUCAAGAAAAGGAUAAGUCCUGGAGAAUGUUUUAAUUUUCCCAGUAGACUCAUCUUUUCAGUAAUUUUACUUACAGGUGGAGUAAGGGAACCCUACUACAGAGUUUUGCAAAAGAGUAAACAUCUGACAGCUUCAGUAAUUCAGCUCUCUCUGUAACAGUAACAUGAGUGACUCAAGCAGCCAAAUUCUAAAAAGAAAUAUAUUUGACUCUGUUCUCCUAAAUCCAUCUGUUCAAACUGGCUCUAAUACAGCUAGCUGCAUGUAGUUUUAAACUGGUGCACAUUAGGACAUGCAGCUUUAUGGCUAGAAAUAG
ensembl:lncRNA